rnacentral:rRNA from 1 species
GAGCUCAAAUUUGAAAGCUGGCGCUUGCGUCCGCAUUGUAAUCUCGAGACGUGUUUUCCGUGCUGGACCGCGUACAAGUCCCUUGGAAUAGGGCAUCGUAGAGGGUGAGAAUCCCGUACUUGACGCGACCGCCAGUGCUUUGUGAUACACGCUCUAAGAGUCGAGUUGUUUGGGAAUGCAGCUCAAAAUGGGUGGUAAAUUCCAUCUAAAGCUAAAUAUUGGCGAGAGACCGAUAGCGAACAAGUACAGUGAUGGAAAGAUGAAAAGAACUUUGAAAAGAGAGUUAAACAGUACGUGAAAUUGCCAAAAGGGAAGGGUAGGAGGUCAGAGAUGCGUCUUGGGAUUCAGCCUUGCUUUUGCCUGGUGCUUUUCCCAGAUUGCAGGCCAACGUCGGUUUUGGGCACUGGAGAAGGGUAGGAGGAACGUGGCACCCCUCGGGGUGUGUUAUAGCCUCCUACUGGAUACAGCGACCGAGACCGAGGACAGCAGCGUACUCGCAAGAGCGGGCCUUCGGGCACCUUUACGCUUAGGGCGUUGGCAUAAUGGCCCUCUACCACCCGUCUU